AUCCUUGUAGGACUCUGGAGAAGAUCAAAUGGGAGCUUAGAUGUGGAAGCUCUUUGGAAACCAAGAAACACUCUGCAAAUGAAAAGGCAUAAGAAUGUUUAUCACAGCAUGGCAUAUAUUGGAAGUUUAGUAAAUGAAGAUACAUCCAAUCUGACAUUCCAUUCACAACCACAAAGAGAUAACGUAGAAACAUAUUUAGUAAUGUGAGAAAAUACUAAAUAUUAAGUGAAAAAGGUGGAAGAGUAAACUGUUCCUGUUUCUCCAUCUUGACAGGAAGCAGAAGUUCUCCUUAGCUGAUUUUUCUUCUUGCCUUAUACUGGGUUCUUUAACACCAGAACAAAAAUAAAUAAAUAAAAGAAUCUUCCAGAAAUUCAUGAAGAGACUUCAGGUCAGGAAAGCCUGAACUUUCUCAUCCAACACCUGUUCAAGUCGGAGGAUGCUGAUUAAUUCAUGAUGGAAAGGUAUCAAUUUCACAGCCCAGACCUCUACAUUCUUGAAAUGCUCUUCUCAUGGGAGACAUUAAAUAAGCUUUGAAUUAACUGAGACCUCUGUGGAUUCUAUAACUCAAAGACCCAGGCUGACGGCUGGUGGAAUAGCUACCAUCUCAAACAUGGCGUGAUGCUGCAUCAGAGAGAAAAAUAAGCUCUUGCAUUGACAAUGAAAUGUCUACCCUGUAGUGACUUGUGCUUACUUCCACUCACAAGUGAUUGCCCAGAGCUACUUACCUGGCUCCAAUCUACCACUGGGUGUGUACUUGCAAUCUACCAUGUACCUAGAAGAUGAGAGAAACAAAUUAUUAAUGAUGACCACACCCCAAGACUAACAACAAGUUGCAGAAGAAUCAAUGACUUAAACAAAAAUGUGGCCAUUGAAGGAAUAGAAAAUAUAGUGAGUUUAGUGUAAAUUUAAAAGUGAUUUAUAAGUAACAUACAAAAUCCAGAAACUAUAAGAAAACA
rnacentral:antisense_RNA from 1 species